AUGACGCACAGCCUUCACCUGGUGGACAACGGCGGGGAGUUGAUGCUGGUGCACCGAGCGCUAAGCCGGGACAGUGAGUAUGACAUGAGGUAUGAUGCUUACAGAGUGGAUUUGGAAGCUGGGGUCCUGACCCAGGCCAAGGGCUUCAACGGGCGCGCCGUGUUCAUGGGCAUGUGCCGCUCAAUUUCUGUAUCGGCUGAGGCUGCUUACCCCUCUCUCGCUGCUGAUACCAUCUACCUGGGACACGAUUGUGAUGACCAGAUUCAGGGGUACAAUAUCGCGGAUGGAAGCAGAUGCAGUCUGAUUGAGGCAGUAUGUCCGCAUAGUGUUGUGGAUUGUCUCCGCCGUUGCAUCCAGGGAGUCGGCAAGCGACUUGCUUGA
rnacentral:rRNA from 1 species